rfam:Daucus carota subsp. sativus cultivar DH1 chromosome 2, whole genome shotgun sequence.
AACAGAAGAAACAGUCAGAUUAGCCAAAGGGACGACGCCUAAAAACCACAUUAAACAGGGCUUAUUGUGGCAACACAAUUAAAAUUGAGCCCUGAUAAUAUUGGAUGGGGGAUUUAGGCAAGUCAUCCUUGGCUACCAAACAUGCUACUUCUCA